GUGGACGUAGUUCAGUUGGUUAGAGCGUCAGAUUGUGGUUCUGAAUGUCGUGGGUUCGAGUCCCACCUUCCACCCUCCA
rnacentral:tRNA from 2 species